GGCCACAGGGAGGGGAGGAUGUCACCCGUCAACUCUGGAUCUGCCUUUGCAGUUACCAGACCCUGAGUGAGGGCUCUGCUCACUCCAACAUCACAGGCCCGAGUGCAGGAUGUGAGCAAAACCCAUACAGCCAGCCCAGGUCAACUUCCGGCAGGGAGCUCUCCGAGCCUGGCCGGGCUGCCCUCGGCACUGUAGACCCGGCCUUUGCUCCAGGGCCCCAGGAAGUCCAGCUCAGCUUGGGACUCUCAGUCAUUUGCCUGCAAAUGCCACUGUUGUGUGCUCUUUGGGGUCUGAACUUGCACUGUCAGAAUCCCAGGAAAUAUUUUAUCUCAGGGGUAGGGCUGGGAUGGGGGAAAGAGAGGAAAUCAGCCAGGCACUAGGCUCUGUCUUAGCUACUCUGAAUGCACUUCUACUCAAUAUUUGCAAUUGUGCUGUGAAUGGAAGUAUUUCCUCCAUCUCACAGAUGAGGAAACUGAGGCUCCAGGAAUGACGGGCUCCAAGUCUUGCUGGUAAAAGAAGAGCCCUACUCUGGCUUCUGUUCAGCCUCCAAGCCCUCUUUCCUUCCCGCACUUGCACAGGGUGGCGGCCUGAGCCAUCUGAACUCCCCAAGGGUUAGCUCUGCAGGCAGGCCCUCCUCCAGGCAGAGUUUCCAGAGCUGAUGGCAGUCUGGGGCAGUGGCUCUGGCCCCACAGGAAAUCCCAUGCCUCCCCUUUGCAAGAAAUCAUAUUGGAAAGAGUGACAACGUCUCUUCUUCCUGAUGGAAUCCAGUUCCAUUAAGGAAAGCGUCGAUGCCUGGAAUUGUCUUUUGUCCUCAAAAAGCUGAGCACAACAUUUCUAUCUGGCGAAUGUUUCUUUGAUAAAUAUUCUUUUAGAAGUGAGAACUGGACAAAAUAAAAUUGAAAAAGGUUCCUUAGAUGAAAUAACCUCUGGCUUAUCUCUGAGAGCUAUGAGUACCACUAUUUCCCCUCUUUGUUUUGGCUGCCAGUAAGCUCACAGAGCCAACAAAGAGUCUGCCCACACACAGGGAUGCUCAAUAAAUGCACAUGGAAUCCACAAAGUCAAAAAAGCCCUUCUCUAUGCAGGCAGAAGUUCGAAACAGUCUGAACGCUGCUAACAGUUUCCAUGCUGGCACAGAAGUGAGCAUGGCCGUGUGAAAUCCAUGCCAGGACUGCAUAUCAGCUCACUUUCCUCUGCAGAGCCACCUUUGAAGACACUUUCUGCCAGCCGGCGACAUCUUCCCCAGAACUUCAAACCCCUCACAGGCCUCAGACCCUUCUGGGCAGGAGUCCUCGGCCCAACCCUCAUGGAAAAACUUAAUCCAGAAAGAAAAAAAUAAAAUAAAGAGAAACCAGAACUAGGAGGCUGCCGUUAUUACAGCUAAACUGUUGGCUUAACUUCCUAAAAUACCGUUGAAUUUUCUUUCUGCAUAC